GAUGAACGCUGGCGGCGUGCCUAACACAUGCAAGUCGAGCGAUUCUCCUCGGAGAAGAGCGGCGGACGGGUGAGUAACGCGUGGGUAACCUGCCCUGUACACACGGAUAACAUACCGAAAGGUAUGCUAAUACGAGAUAAUAUGCUUUUAUCGCAUGGUAGAAGUAUCAAAGCUCCGGCGGUACAGGAUGGACCCGCGUCUGAUUAGCUAGUUGGUAAGGUAACGGCUUACCAAGGCGACGAUCAGUAGCCGACCUGAGAGGGUGAUCGGCCACAUUGGAACUGAGACACGGUCCAAACUCCUACGGGAGGCAGCAGUGGGGAAUAUUGCACAAUGGGCGAAAGCCUGAUGCAGCAACGCCGCGUGAGCGAUGAAGGCCUUCGGGUCGUAAAGCUCUGUCCUCAAGGAAGAUAAUGACGGUACUUGAGGAGGAAGCCCCGGCUAACUACGUGCCAGCAGCCGCGGUAGUAGUCGU
rnacentral:rRNA from 1 species